GGGGAAUAUUGCACAAUGGGCGAAAGCCUGAUGCAGCAACGCCGCGUGAGUGAUGAAGGUCUUCGGAUUGUAAAGCUCUGUCUUUUGGGACGAUAAUGACGGUACCAAAGGAGGAAGCCACGGCUAACUACGUGCCAGCAGCCGCGGUAAUACGUAGGUGGCGAGCGUUGUCCGGAUUUACUGGGCGUAAAGGGCGCGUAGGCGGAUGUUUAAGUGAGAUGUGAAAUACCCGGGCUUAACUUGGGUGCUGCAUUUCAAACUGGAUAUCUAGAGUGCAGGAGAGGAGAAUGGAAUUCCUAGUGUAGCGGUGAAAUGCGUAGAGAUUAGGAAGAACGCCAGUGGCGAAGGCGAUUCUCUGGACUGUAACUGACGCUGAGGCACGAAAGCGUGGGUAGCAAACAGGAUUAGAUACCCUGGUAGUCCACGCCGUAAACGAUGAGUACUAGGUGUAGGAGGUAUCGACCCCUUCUGUGCCGCAGUAAACACAUUAAGUACUCCGCCUGGGAAGUACGAUCGCAAGAUUAAAACUCUAAAGUGAAUUGACGGGGUC
rnacentral:rRNA from 1 species